GAAUAUUGGUCAAUGGGUGAGAGCCUGAACCAGCCAUGCCGCGUGUAGGAUGACGGCCUUCUGGGUUGUAAACUACUUUUCUACAGGAAGAAACAGGCUAUGCGUAGCCAAUUGACGGUCCUGUAGGAAUAAGCCCCGGCUAACUCCGUGCCCGCAGCCGCGGUAAUACGGAGGGUGCGAGCGUUGUCCGGAUUUAUUGGGUUUAAAGGGUGCGUAGGUUGCUAUAUAAGCCAGUGGUGAAAGCCCAUCGCUUAACGAUGGAACUGCCAUUGGAACUGUAUAGCUUGAGUAUCGUUGAAGUAGGCGGAAUUUAUGGUGUAGCGGUGAAAUGCAUAGAUACCAUAAAGAACACCGAUAGCGUAGGCAGCUUACUAAGCGAUAACUGACACUGAGGCACGAAAGCAUGGGGAGCGAACAGGA
rnacentral:rRNA from 1 species